CAGCCGCCGCGGUAAUACGAAGGGUGCAAGCGUUAAUCGGAAUUACUGGGCGUAAAGCGCACGUAGGCGGCUUGGUAAGUUAGAGGUGAAAGCCCGGAGCUCAACUCCGGAAUUGCCUUUGAGACUGCCGAGCUAGUAGGUGAGAGAGGUAAGUGGAAUUCCGAGUGUAGAGGUGAAAUUCGUAGAUAUUCGGAAGAACACCAGUGGCGAAGGCGGCUUACUGGCUCAUUCUAGACGCUGAGGUGCGAAAGCGUGGGGAGCAAACAGGAUUAGAGACCCCCGUAGUCCCUGUCUCUUAUAC
rnacentral:rRNA from 1 species